rnacentral:rRNA from 1 species
CUACGGGGCGCUCCAGUGGGGAAUAUUGGACAAUGGAGGCAACUCUGAUCCAGCAAUUCCGUGUGUGUGAUGAAGGUCUUCGGAUUGUAAAGCACUUUCAAUAGGGAAGAAACAAAUGACGGUACCUAUAGAAGAAGCACCGGCUAAUUACGUGCCAGCAGCCGCGGUAAGACGUAAGGUGCAAGCGUUAUCCGGAAUCACUGGGCGUAAAGGGCGUCUAGGCGGCAAUGCAAGUCAGGGGUGAAAAGUCUGGGCUCAACCGAGGCCUUGCCUUUGAAACUGCAUAGCUAGAGUACGGGAGAGGAGGGCGGAACUACAAGUGUAGCGGUGAAAUGCGUAGAUAUUUGUAGGAAUGCCGAUGUCGAAGGAAGCUCUCUGGACCGAUACUGACGCUGAAGCGCGAAAGCUAGGGGAGCAAACAGGAUUAGAUACCCGAGUAGUC